rnacentral:rRNA from 1 species
UACGGAGGGUGCAAGCGUUAUCCGGAUUCACUGGGUUUAAAGGGUGCGUAGGCGGAUUGGUAAGUCCGUGGUGAAAUCUCCGAGCUUAACUCGGAAACUGCCAUGGAUACUAUUAGUCUUGAAUAUUGUGGAGGUUAGCGGAAUAUGUCAUGUAGCGGUGAAAUGCAUAGAUAUGACAUAGAACACCAAUUGCGAAGGCAGCUGGCUACACAAAUAUUGACGCUGAUGCACGAAAGCGUGGGGAUCAAACAGG